UACGUAGGUGGCAAGCGUUUGUCCGGAUUUAUUGGGUUUAAAGGGUGCGUAGGCGGCCCUGUAAGUCAGUGCUGAAAUAUCCCAGCUUAACUGGGAGGGUGGCAUUGAUACUGCGGGGCUAGAGUACAGAUGAGGUAGGCGGAAUUGACGGUGUAGCGGUGAAAUGCUUAGAUAUCGUCAAGAACACCUAUAGCGAAGGCAGCUUACUAGGCUGUAACUGACGCUGAGGCACGAAAGUGUGGGGGAUCAAACAGG
rnacentral:rRNA from 1 species